GUUCAGAUGGUUUACAGUGAGCAGCGCAGCGGAGGCUCUUUGCUGUGUCUCAAAGUUUGCAGAAAAUGUGGUUAUUUUCGGUGACCUCUUUAGUGGGACAAAGGAGGCUGCGGAUCGAUUCGUUACACCUUUUUAGUGAGGCUUCUGGUGAAGGGGAGGGGCUCUGAAUCUACAAGAGGCUCCAUUAAUAGCCUACUCUCCAUCCUAACUAUUAUCCUCCAUAAAGUGUUUAUAAAGGGCACACAACUGGGCUAAUGUUAUCUCAAACGAGACGGCACGAUAUAUCCGUUUAAUGCAGAACCUGCUCGGGUGGAUGGUGGAGAGAAGAGAGGGGAAAACCCUCAAGUUUGUUUUUAUUACUGAGUAAAUAGAGGGUACGGUGAUAAUCACAACAUAACUUGGAUGGCAUGAGAAGUGUCUCAGUUCAGACUGGAUGCGCUGCUCUUCCCUCUGCAGCCGGCCACCGGACUCACUCACACCCAGCUACACCGGCUCCGGUCCGAGCUAUUCCUACCGGAGGUUUGGACCGGAUCAUUUACCCUACAAGGAACUGGAUUACAAAACUUUGCACAAACCCGUCGCGCCAGCCCCAGUUCAACUAAUUCUGGUCUGACAUGACCACAUGAAUAGAAGCUGUAUUAUAAGAGCUACUGGAUCGUACUACAGAGGAGUCCCGCAGGUUGUCAAAUCAGAGACGCUGACGCAGAGACACACCAACACCGAGAGGGAAACGAGAGAAAUCUGGCAGAGCAGCAUCCUAUUGUGUCGUCCUGAGUCACAUUAUCUGACAAAUACAGAGAUUUACCAGUACAAAAUGGAAAAUAUGACUGAGGUCAUGCUAAGAAUGGCCACUUCCCUGACCUUGGCUUCUCCGGCAACGUCUGCAAUAUUAUCAGCCGAAAUAUCCGCUAUUACACGCUAACGACAAGAGACAUUUCUACAGGAGCAGCAGCAGCGACACACCGGACCACUGGCUUAGGGCGAGUCAUCCAGAUCACAGUGGCUGUUGUCACCUACGAGCCACCAUCAUCAAGAGUGCAUCUCUUUGUUUUUGAGAUGAAAAUGCAGCUUAUGUGUGUUGAUAAAGACACUGUGUGAAUGCACUGUGUGUGUAUGUAAAUUGUUGACACUCAGUGACAAUGUAUGCAUUUAUGUAAGCAUGGUGACGCCUCAAUGAUGGAUAAAUAAACAAGGAUGCCUUCAUGACAGUACAACACACUGAUCCAAUACUAUUAACAUUCUAGAUUUUUAACAAUGAAAUAAAAGAUUAAAAGAGUA